rnacentral:rRNA from 1 species
GAUGAACGCUGGCGGCGUGCCUAAUACAUGCAAGUCGAGCGAUCGGACGAGAAGCUUGCUUCUCUGAUGUUAGUGGCGGACGGGUGAGUAACACGUGGAUAACCUACCUAUAAGACUGGGAUAACUUCGGGAAACCGUAGCUAAUACCGGAUAAUAUUUUGAACCGCAUGGUUCAAAAGUGAAAGACGGUCUUGCUGUCACUUAUAGAUGGAUCCGCGCUGCAUUAGCUAGUUGGUAAGGUAACGGCUUACCAAGGCAACGAUGCAUAGCCGACCUGAGAGGGUGAUCGGCCACACUGGAACUGAGACACGGUCCAGACUCCUACGGGAGGCAGCAGUAGGGAAUCUUCCGCAAUGGGCGAAAGCCUGACGGAGCAACGCCGCGUGAGUGAUGAAGGUCUUCGGAUCGUAAAACUCUGUUAUUAGGGAAGAACAUAUGUGUAAGUAACUGUGCACAUCUUGACGGUACCUAAUCAGAAAGCCACGGCUAACUACGUG